CAAAACUGUAAAACGCAUGUCAAGCACGUUGAAAUCAGCUUAUUCUUGUGCAUGAAUCCGUCAGAAAGCAAUGACUUUUCACUCCAUUUUCAUUGUGUCACCCGACUUGACCUGUUAAGAAGUCAUUAAAGGAGCAAGCACGCUCACUUCCUGGCUCUUGAAAAGGAGUUUGGCUGGCUGUUUAUUCAUGUUAGCACUUUGGGAGUAAAACACAUGAAGAGAACAGUACAAUUUGAGUUAUUCCUUUGCAACGAUAUAUGUUCAGCUUUUUCGGACAGAAAACGGGAUCCUCAAGAUCAAAUAACAAGUGUCUAACUGCAAUGAUGAGACUGACUUCAGAGAAAACAUCCCCCGAGGUUUUUGCAGUAUGCAAGCUACAACUGAUUGACAGCAACUGUCUACGAGGACAUCGUUUCAAUGCCAGACUGAUUCAAAUGUCUUAAAGUGAGGAAAAAGCUUGCAGCAAAUAAACGUUGGAUGUGUGCAAUCGUAUUCGUGAUCCCUCCAGGAGGGUUUGGGGACCAGCUCUGUUCCAUAAUCUCUGACGUUUCAAAGAGAUUCGAUCUGUAGAGAUUUAGUUCCCUCUUCUAACUUUCUGAGGGUGAUGCAUGACUCAUAAUAAGUUUCCAAUAAAGUUUGAGGAGGCUCAGGCUCUGUUCUCAAGUACUGGCUAAAAAUAGCUUGGAGGGGAAUGGACCAGAAAGGAACGUGCUGCAUGUGAAAAGGCUUGGAAGUGAAAGAACACUGGACUUAUAGUAAUGUGUUACUGCAUUAUUUUUUUUGAGUGUAAAAUGAUGCAGCAUAUACAUUUAGAAUGCAAUGGAACACAAUGAAAUGGAUAAGAUACACACAUGGACAAGAUUGGUGCCCUUCCAUUAAAGAAAAAACUCGUCAUUCGAAUGACUUCAUCCAGAACUUCUGGUUCAACAGUGCUUGUUUCAAAAUAAAAGAAUGAGUUCCAGAAUAUAGGGAAAUUUAGUUUGGAUGGAUUAUUGUGUCCAUAAGC